GCGGUAUGCUUAAGACAUGCAAGUCGAACGGAAUCUUCGGAUUCAGUGGCGGACGGGUGAGUAACACGUGGGAAUCUACUGAGUAGUGGGGGACAGCCCGGCGAAAGCCGGAUUAAUACCGCAUACGCCCUACGGGGGAAAGGCGCAAGCCGCUAUUUAAUGAGCCCGCGUAAGAUUAGCUAGUUGGUAGGGUAAAGGCUUACCAAGGCAACGAUCUUUAGCUGGUCUGAGAGGAUGGCCAGCCACAUCGGGACUGAGACACGGCCCGGACUCCUACGGGAGGCAGCAGUCGGGAAUAUUGGACAAUGGGCGCAAGCCUGAUCCAGCAAUACCGCGUGUGUGAAGAAGGCCUGCGGGUUGUAAAGCACUUUCAGUUGGGAAGAUAAUGACGUUACCAACAGAAGAAGCACCGGCUAACUCCGUGCCAGCAGCCGCGGUAAUACGGAGGGUGCAAGCGUUAAUCGGAAUUACUGGGCGUAAAGCGUGCGUAGGCGGUUUUUUAAGUCAGAUGUGAAAUCCCCGGGCUCAACCUGGGAACUGCAUCUGAUACUGGGAGACUAGAGUGUGGGAGAGGAGAGUGGAAUUUCCGGUGUAGCGGUGAAAUGCAUAGAGAUCGGAAGGAACAUCAGUGGCGAAGGCGACUCUCUGGACCAACACUGACGCUGAGGCACGAAAGCGUGGGUAGCAAACAGGAUUAGAUACCCUGGU
rnacentral:rRNA from 1 species